rnacentral:rRNA from 1 species
UACGUAGGGUGCAAGCGUUGUCCGGAAUUAUUGGGCGUAAAGAGCUCGUAGGUGGUUUGUCGCGUUGUUCGUGAAAACUCACAGCUCAACUGUGGGCGUGCGGGCGAUACGGGCAGACUGGAGUACUGCAGGGGAGACUGGAAUUCCUGGUGUAGCGGUGGAAUGCGCAGAUAUCAGGAGGAACACCGGUGGCGAAGGCGGGUCUCUGGGCAGUAACUGACGCUGAGGAGCGAAAGCGUGGGGGAGCGAACAGG